UACGGGGGGAGCAAGCGUUGUUCGGAAUCACUGGGCUUAAAGGGCGCGUAGGCGGGCGGUCAAGUCAGGGGUGAAAUCCCACGGCUCAACCGUGGAAGUGCCUUUGAUACUGGCCGUCUCGAGGGAGGUAGGGGCGUGCGGAACUUCCGGUGGAGCGGUGAAAUGCGUAGAUAUCGGAAGGAACACCGGUGGCGAAAGCGGCGCGCUGGACCUUUACUGACGCUGAGGCGCGAAAGCCAGGGGAGCAAACGGG
rnacentral:rRNA from 1 species